UACGUAGGGAGCGAGCGUUGUCCGGAUUCAUUGGGCGUAAAGAGCUCGUAGGCGGCUGUUCAAGUCGAACGUGAAAACUCGGAGCUCAACUCCGAGCCUGCGUUCGAUACUGGACGGCUAGAGUCUGGUAGGGGGAUCUGGAAUUCCUGGUGUAGCGGUGGAAUGCGCAGAUAUCAGGAGGAACACCGGUGGCGAAGGCGGCAUCCUGGACCGACACUGACGCUGAGGCGCGAAAGCCAGGGGAGCAAACGGG
rnacentral:rRNA from 1 species